CUUUCAGACACACGUAGAAAUCUCCUUUCUAUCUCCUACUCUCUGAAACUCUACCUUUUCAGGAACUGUAAUGAUGAGACCCUGAGAUUACACAUCAGGUUGGCAGUGCUGCCAGUAGAGAAGAGGAGGGAAGUAUGUCAAAGCACUCCCUGAAGCCCUGAGAAAACUGGACCCUGGCCCAUCCGAGCGGAAAAGCAAUCAGCAAUAGUUGUAGAAUCUGGAUCUUUCAGGAUUAUCAUUUAGAUCGCCAGUCAUAAAGAUUUGUAUUCUGACAUUGAAUUGUAAUCCAGAUUUUGUAACUCUGUGGGAGAGAGGACUGUUUCUGAUUCUUUCUUUUGAGAAAAGGAAACUAAGGCACAGAGAGACUCAGUAAUUUGACCAUGGCUAGCAACUUGUAGAUCUGGGGUUGAACCUAAGUACCCCCUUCACAGACUGCCACAGGAGAUGUGAGAACCGACCCAAAGUUUUAACUGUCCUUGGAGUCUUGGAGCUCUACAUUAUGGAGGAGACAGCCUUUUCAAUGAGGUCCUUUGGAAAUUCAA